UGAAAGACAUGGGUAGUGAGAUGCUGUGUGUUUUAAAUAUUGUCUCACUAUCUUGUCUUUC
rnacentral:pre_miRNA from 1 species